rnacentral:lncRNA from 1 species
AGAGACAGAGGUGGCAGCGUGAGGUGGUAGCAAGCUGGUGGUGGUGUUAGGAUUUCGACAAAGAAAGGUUUUGAGAGAGAGGGGGGGAUGAACACAACGAGUGAAGAUGAUCAUAUAUGAGACCUUGUGUUUUAGUUUUAGAAGCAAAUUCAACAUUAGUUGUAGAGAACGAUGUAAUUAACAACUCAAAUCUUAUAGGGGUUCCUACAGAUCCAAUGUUAGAAACUCAAAUCUUACAUCAAUUUAUACAAAGGAUAAGAUGCAGAGAUCAUUGUGAUUUUUGAGCCAAGGUUGGGUCCAUGCAUGAAUGCAAUUUCCAUUGCCAAUCCUCCAUUACACGCUUUCUUUUACCACUAUCCUUGAAGCAUGGAUAUUGUGUCAUAUAAAACCUGGAUUGUGCCCUCAUUAAGCUUUCAAGAUAUUCACCGUUGGAAAACAUUUGACUUCAAAAACUUGAGCUACUAUAAUAUCUUGGUUGGUCAUCCAUCUCUAAGCUUGUUUCCCUAGCAUGACAAGGUUAAAAGCAUGCAAUUGCUUGAAGCUCAUUCCUUCAUGUUCCUUCUUCAUAGUCAUCUUGUCCCAAACUUAGCCACUUAAUUCCUUUUCUUUGUUGGUUGUUAGAGUCUCACCAAAAAGAAGUCAUCAUCUUCUGUAAUUCAUCUUGUAGCUAGAGUGAAGGGAAGCAAGUAGACAAUCAUGCAAUAAGUUGGAAUUGAUUGAGCAACACAUUUAACAAGAAUUUCUUUACUCGCCUUUGAAAGUUGUUUACUCGUCAAAUGAUUGAUGUGGUUUCAAAUUCUAUCUUUGAUGAGGUCAAAUACUAUUUUUCUCCAUUUGCCAACAGAAGGUAGUUUCAAAUAUUUGGUGGAGCCAAUAGUCU